rnacentral:lncRNA from 1 species
UCUUGCAACUGUUCCUUCAAUUCUUUCAACUCGGCUGGAGCCAUCCUGUAGGGAGGGAUAGAGAUCGGUCGGGUUCCAGGCAUCAGUUCUAUCUCGAACUCUAUCUCCCUAGCAGGUGGUAAACCUGGCAACUCGUCUGGGAAGACGUCUAGAAACUCUCUAACCACUGGCACCGAGGCGGGCUCUCUAACCUGACUGCUAAGCUCUCUCACAUGAGCCAAAUACCCC